rnacentral:lncRNA from 1 species
AUCACUACAGAAACAAUACACGAAAUUGCAAUCAAAAUAUGGCAUACGACAGAAUUUCAAUAAAUUGUUCAUCAUAUAACAUAAAUCAACAAAACAGAGAAAAUCCUAUUGAAGUAGGUUAAGAGAAACCUCUCUACCCUUUAAUGAGUUAAACACCCAUUGAUGAAGAAUCCCCCUUACUUUGUAAUUCCAACAAAACAAAAAAAUCAGCAAAGCAACUUCAUUUUAUUUCUCAUCUCAAGCCCUAACA